GAUGAACGCUGGCGGCGUGCCUAAUACAUGCAAGUCGAGCGAACGGACGAGAAGCUUGCUUCUCUGAUGUUAGCGGCGGACGGGUGAGUAACACGUGGAUAACCUACCUAUAAGACUGGGAUAACUUCGGGAAACCGGAGCUAAUACCGGAUGAUAUUUUGAACCGCAUGGUUCAAUAGUGAAAGACGGUCUUGCUGUCACUUAUAGAUGGAUCCGCGCUGCAUUAGCUAGUUGGUAAGGUAACGGCUUACCAAGGCAACGAUGCAUAGCCGACCUGAGAGGGUGAUCGGCCACACUGGAACUGAGACACGGUCCAGACUCCUACGGGAGGCAGCAGUAGGGAAUCUUCCGCAAUGGGCGAAAGCCUGACGGAGCAACGCCGCGUGAGUGAUGAAGGUCUUCGGAUCGUAAAACUCUGUUAUUAGGGAAGAACAUAUGUGGAAGUAACUGUGCACAUCUUGACGGUACCUAAUCAGAAAGCCACGGCUAACUACGUG
rnacentral:rRNA from 1 species